CAAUAGCGUAUAUUAAUGUUGUUGCAGUUAAAAAGCUCGUAGUUGGAUUUCUGGUGGGAGCGGCCGGUCCGCCGUAAGGUGUGUACUUGGUUGUCUCCUGUCAUCCUUGUGGGAACUGCUCUGGCAUUAAGUUGUCGGGGUUAGGGAACACAUCGUUUACUGUGAAAAAAUUAGAGUGUUUAAAGCAGGCUUAUGCCGUUGAAUACAUUAGCAUGGAAUAAUAAGAUAGGACUUUGGCGUCUAUUUUGUUGGUUUGCACACCAAGGUAAUGAUUAAUAGGGAUAGUUGGGGGUAUUCGUAUUUAAUUGUCAGAGGUGAAAUUCUUGGAUUUAUGAAAGACGAACUUCUGCGAAAGCAUUUACCAAAGAUGCUUUCAUUAA
rnacentral:rRNA from 1 species